rnacentral:misc_RNA from 1 species
CCUAGAGUUGUAGGCUUUGCCUGCUAUCUCUUACCCAUGUCUUUUGAGUACCUUACGUUUCCUCGGUGGGUUCGCCCACCGAUUGGACAAACUUAAACCCUUUGCAGUUGAAAUCAGCGUCUGAAAAAACUUAAUAGUUAC